UUGCUUUGCUGAGCUUUUUUGUCAAUUGCAGAGAGAGAGAGAUAGAGGAUAAGGAGAAAAGAGAGAGCUCAACCCUAAUUCCUUUUGUCGCCACUUCUCCAUAGGCGCCGCCGAAACCAUCUCCUCUUCUGAUAGAGCUUAUGAUCUUGGGUUUGUUGUUUAGUUCUGGCUGGAAUCCGAGUCGAUCGUUUCACAAUUACUAUGGCGUCUUCUAGGGUUUCAGGAAAAGUCCAAAUCAAGCAAAUCCAUUUGGUCCAUCACUAAAGCGAAGUUUCUUCAGAGAUGGUUCUGGCUGGAAGCCGAGUCGAUCUGAGAUAAUGGAUGCUCUCGGGUUUCUGAAGGUUUUAUGAUCUCUGCUGUGUGUACUGCUGGGUGAAGGUAUACUGACUGAGGCAGGAGAAACAACUUUUUAAAAAAGGUUACAGUGCUAAGUGGCACAAAUGGUAUAUUUAGUGUAAUUUUCAUAUGAUUAUUUAGCUAGAUUGGUUAUAAAUUUUGCUAGUAGUGAAUCAUGUAGAUAUUUGGGGACAAUGGGGUUGCUCCAGAUUGAUUUUACAUGGACUGACAAGUGUUUUCUAAUAUGUUACUGAUGGUUUUUUUGUCCAAUGAAGAAGCUGAAGAUAUCAAGAAAAUGUUUUUUUAAAAGAUGGCGUUGUAACAACUGAAAUACUGAAAGGUGGACUACAAAAGUUUAAUACACGUUGUCGAGUCUGUGCUUAUUGAAGAUGCGUUCUAUACACACUUCCGGAAUAUCAUAGCCAUAUAUCCCGACCGCCUGCAGUGGUCAAACAACAGGCACGAAAACCAUAACCCUCGUGGAGCUAUUUCUGAUCGACACAUUGGAGAUGUUGCACAUCGAUUCAGUACAGGAGCACAUGAAGAGUAUACCGAGCUCUCAGCCGUGGAAGGUUUGGCCCAAUAUACCAAACUAAUCUGGGAGAUUGCCGAUCAGUUGCCAUCAAAAAGCUCAUAGUCUCGGGCCUUGUAAAAUCUCAAGAAGAUUUCUCGAGGGAGGUUAAGAAACUGGGAAAGAUUCAUCAUCUGAAUCUUGUAGCACUCGAAGGGUCAUCCACCAAAUUACAGAAAUGGUGCUGUUUUGAGUUAGGAAACGGAGAAGAAGAGAACAGGGGAGAGUGUGCUGUGCAAGUGGCAGCUCCGUUAUUUAAGGUUUGGCUUCCUUUUGGGUUUUCUAUUGGUCUUGCGGAUUGUUAGAAAUUUGUUAUGGAUGAAACAAAGAAGAAAUCAGAAGAUAUGUCAGGUGACCCUUCGUCAGGACUAAUGUGGGAUGUAAAAAUUACACACUUUGUAUUUGCUUUGUUUUAUGAUUUAGAUGUACCUUUAUUUUAUUAGUUUUUUUUUUUUUCUGAAUUUUUUUUUUUAUCAUAUCUAAACAUCAAAUACAAUAAGCAUGUCAUUGUAUAUUUUUUACUACAUUUGUUAUUUAAGUCCUAAUUUGUUAUU
rnacentral:lncRNA from 1 species